GCCGCAAUAGCUCAGUCGGUAGAGCACGUCAUUCGUAAUGACGGGGUCGGGGGUUCGAAUCCCUCUUGCGGCACCA
rnacentral:tRNA from 109 species